rnacentral:rRNA from 1 species
UUGACCUCAAAUCAGGUAGGACUACCCGCUGAACUUAAGCAUAUCAAAGCCCGGGAGGA